rnacentral:rRNA from 1 species
AUUGAACGCUGGCGGCAUGCCUUACACAUGCAAGUCGAACGGCAGCACGGGGGCAACCCUGGUGGCGAGUGGCGAACGGGUGAGUAAUAUAUCGGAACGUACCCUGGAGUGGGGGAUAACGUAGCGAAAGUUACGCUAAUACCGCAUACGAUCUAAGGAUGAAAGUGGGGGAUCGCAAGACCUCAUGCUCCUGGAGCGGCCGAUAUCUGAUUAGCUAGUUGGUGGGGUAAAGGCCUACCAAGGCAUCGAUCAGUAGCUGGUCUGAGAGGACGACCAGCCACACUGGGACUGAGACACGGCCCAGACUCCUACGGGAGGCAGCAGUGGGGAAUUUUGGACAAUGGGGGCAACCCUGAUCCAGCAAUGCCGCGUGAGUGAAGAAGGCCUUCGGGUUGGUAAAG